AAUUAUUCUAUUACUGUGUUAACAUUCACUUUAGGUAAAGUGUAAACAAGUUUUCUAAGAAUACAAUCUUGUUGAUUAGCAUGAAAUUUUGUUUUAAAAACUAACGAAAAAUCAGUGGAUUGUUCUAGUGGAUGUUUAGUUCAAAAAUUCCAUAUGAUUAAAACGGAAUUUUGUAGAAGAAAAUGAGGUGGGAAAAGCAUUGAUGAUAUCGAUUAAGUUCUCUAAUAUUACUGUGUUUAUAAAUAGAAUUAAAUAUAAUUACAAAAUGGUAUGAAAACAUUGAAAAAGCUGCAUUAGUUUUCUAGUAAUACUUUCAUGAUUAUUAGAAUGAAAUUUUGUUUAGAAAAUGACAUAAAUAGGUUGAAAAAUCAUUGAAUUCAUUGGAUGGAUACGGAUAUUCCAUCUCUACAUUGGCAAAAACGCAAUAAAAAUUUUCAAUUUCCAAAUUUCAUCCUUAAAAAAAUCUGGUGUAUAACUAUAGCGCAAUGAAAAAUUAAUCAUGAUUUUAUGGCAAAAAAACAACGAGAAACGAGACAAAAUAAUAACAUGAAAAUAUAGCGACCUGCCAAAAAGGUGCACUCGCUAUAAUUUAUGGCACAAACCCAAAAUUUCACGUUAUCUGAUAGGUCAGUUUCUUCAAACAAUACGAAAUAAUUAAGUCGUCAAAGCCUGAAGUCUUGAUACGAAAAAUGGAAAAGAAACCCAUCAAAAACAAUUUUUUCCCAACACAAUCAAAAGUUUCGUGUUCGUGUUCGUUCCAGAGGAAUUUACUAUCUAGGAAUAUUGAAGGAGUACACAAUUUCUCACGACAAUUAAAUGAAGUAUGAUCAAUUGGCCUUCGUCUGUGUUAUAAACAAAAUAAAGCUCAUCGGCCGGCAAGUCUAGGAAGACGAGGAGAACCAUCACAAGCACACAUACCCAUACACAUACAAAUUCAAUUUUGUAGAUAGCGAAGAAGAAA